GCUCCUUCAAAGGCCUUCAUUGCUUGCAUCUUGUAUAAUUUAAAGGCCUAAACAUGCCUUCAGUGCUAAGGCAGCAAUGGAGAGCAAUGGGUGUCUUUUAGCUGAUCAGCUUUACUUUCAUACCUGUAAAGCUUCUGUGCUGCAGCCUGUAUAACUAGGUCAGCCACACUCAAUUCAUUAAGCAGGACCAGCUGAUCCCCAGCCUCUUCCCCCUGAUUGGUUCUAGGGCUGCUUUUAAGAAACUUCUGUAGCAUCUAGGCCCUGCUGUGCAACAUGCUGACUUCAGUCCUUGAGUAGCUUCUGCCUUGGUGACUUCCCUGGUACCCCUUACUGCGCACCCAGCCUUUCAGACUGGUUUGUUUCCUGACCUCUGAUUCUGAUAUAUCCUCUGUUGUUCUGAACUGUGGCUUAUCUCUACAGCCCCCAGGCUAUAUCUGAUUCAUAAAGCAAAACCUUGCAACUUUGAGCAUCUUGAUGCAUCCAGUGUUUCAAGGAAAGUGAUUUCUGCACCUGAGUUAAGAUUCCAUACGGGAGGAAAACUGAGUAAGGCCUUAUCCCAAGCAGCUCUGCCUCUCCAUCUCCAAUCAACCUCCAUCUGUACCAGGCACCCCUAGAAACAACAAUUGAACCUGAAGUUCAAUUAAAAAGGAUACAUUAAAUAUUUGGCCUUCAUACAUAAGGGUCCAGGGUGAUUAGCAGCUGAAGCUUCUUGAAAGGAUCAGCAGGUGAUUAAGAUGCUUUGAUGUAACUGCAGAAGUCUGUUGCUGUGGACCUCCUGUAUAACAGUCUCUGCACCCAACUUCCACAGGAUCUAGGUGCCCAGAGGUACAGACGGGUACCUAGUGGGAUUUGCAAAAAUGCCUAGGAUGCUUAGGCAAGAAGUUUCAUACAUUUAAUUAGAGUUAAAUGAAUAACUUUUUUAGAUGCAUGACAAGUUCCCUCAGUGCCUCGAUGCAUUGUAUUAAAUACCUUCCAGAAUCUGGUCCCCCUGGGCCUAAGUUUCCAUUUUUGAAACAGAAACAACACUUUCCUUCCUCAGAUGGAAUGUUGUAAGGACACAGUCUGUAGAAAUUAUGAAGUGCUUCAAUACUGUGGAGAGAAGAAACGAACUGUGUUGGUCUGAAGUUGUGCAGAAGGCAAGCUGCUAUGGAGUAUUGGGAACUCACAAAUAGAGGGGUUAAAACAGAAGUGACAAUUUUUGCCUGAUCUGGCCACAGAAAGCAGUUUAUAGCUGUGACCAAACACAAGUACACAGCUGCAGACAGCUUAAAAAAUGACUGAUUGGGUGAAAAUCUGACCCCUCAUUGCAAGAGGUAUUAGAUGAAGACGUUUCAAAAUGUAGUGUCUUCUUUAAGUUAUAUCCAAGGACCACCUAGCCUGUCGCUGUUUUUAAAAUGGGAAAGGGAGCAGAGCAAGUUCAUUCAGGUUUUUUCA